AGUUGUUUGGGAUAUCAGCUUGUUGUGGUAUGUGGGCUUUGUCUGAAAACUGGAAGAAAAGGGUGCCACUAAGUCUUCUAUUCCUCAUAAUAUUAUUUUGCUGUUUGACCUUCAGCUGGGGACCAGCUGAAUAAAACAGUUUCUCGCUAAUGAAUCCCCAGAGUCUCUCCCGAUUUCACGAUUUCCAGACUCUUUUUAUUUAUUUUUUUUUUAUACAACACUGCCAAAUGUUGACAAAAUCCCAUUAAAUCAGGCAGUUCAUGCCUUUAUCCUGCUGAUACCAAACGGCCAGCACAGCAGCCAUUACAGAUCAGGAAUAGAGUGGUUAGAAAGAACUUUUGGGAAAGAAUGUCUUUCUUAUGUUAUGACAGUCCUGACUUAUAAGUCAGAUGAAAAAUGUGAGAGGGCACUUGCAGACCUGAAAGCUAAUCACAGUUUUGUUGAACAAAGAUACCACACAUGUAGAAGAAGUAUGAUGAAUGUAAAUGAGAUAAUCGAGCUCUUGGAAAAAAUAGAUGUCAUGGUCUCUGAAAACAACCCACAAUUUACGGAUGAUUGAGGUGAAUAAACAUAAAAAAAAAAUUCACACACACCCCACAAAGAAGAAACAGUCAAAAGGUAAGAUGUUAAUGUGAAUAAGAUGUUUAUUCUCUUUUUAAUAAAAAAAAGUGUGUGUGGGGUUGAAAAGCUUUACUAUGAUAUUAUUGUCUAAAUUUUAAACUGAUGUGAUUUUCAUUCACUUUCUUACAUUAUGCAGCAGCUGAACAAAUGAAGACUGCAGCUGAAAUCCAGUUGAAGGUUUGCAUCUUAUGACCACCUGAUGCGGUUUUGGCGGGUCAUUCAGUCGUCGCUGAAGUACAUGGUCCAAGUGACCAGGUCAACUACUGAUGACGCUUCCUGACAGAGUACCCCCAUGGGACAGGUUCUACACCCAAUAGAUAAAAUGUUCCUGUUCCUGAAUUACCUUGCCCUUGGACUGAAGCAGAGGGACCUGGCUGACCACUAUCAGAUCCACCAGUCUACUGUGAGCAGAAUAAUCUCACAUGGAGCAAUUUUUUUUGCUUUCUGUACUUGGUGCACAUAGAAUCUGGAUGACACCAGAGCUGAUAAAAGAGUACCUACUUGUGGAGUUCAGGCUAUGCUGACACAGCCGUGAUCCUGGACUGCACUGAGCUGAGGUGCCAAACCCCCUCUUCUCUCCUACUAUAGAGUGAGGUCUACUCAAACUACAAGUCCCAAUGUACCCUGAAAGGAAUGAUCGGCAAAUUCCCCCAUGCUUCAGUGGCCUUUGUUUCCCCCCUCUAUCCUGGUUCAAUUAGUGACAAGCAGCUAUUUGUGGAAUCAGGACUUUCCAGACUUCUCUGUCCAGACUUUGCGAUCAUGGUGGACAGAGGCUUCCUGAUUGACAACUGUGUGCCCUGCAAGGUGUAUAGACAUGCAUUUCUGUCAGGAAGACCUCAAAUGCCUGAAAACGAGGUUAAGGAAACACAGGCAAUCGCACACCUCAGGGUGCAUGUGGAGCCUGUAAUUUGAAGAUUGAAACCUCACAAGUUAUUUGAUUCAGAGAUCCCUUUGAAUAUGUUUGGUAAUAUCAAUCAGCUGUACAUUGUUGAAUGUCUCCUCCUGAAUUAUGAAAAUUGCUCCCUGGUUAAAGCUUGGGCAAAGUAGAACAGUCAAAUCUGAUACAAGUAAUACAAGCAAUUAUUGUAGUAUAAUUAAAAUUAUUGAUGUGAUAUUGUUAUUGCUAUUGUUGUCGAUGCAGUAAAAUAAA